rnacentral:rRNA from 1 species
GAUGAACGCUGACAGAAUGCUUAACACAUGCAAGUCAACUUGAAUUUGGGUUUUUAACUUAGGUUUGGGUGGCGGACGGGUGAGUAACGCGUAAAGAACUUGCCUCACAGCUAGGGACAACAUUUGGAAACGAAUGCUAAUACCUAAUAUUAUGAUAAUAGGGCAUCCUAUAAUUAUGAAAGCUAUAAGCGCUGUGAGAGAGCUUUGCGUCCCAUUAGCUAGUUGGAGAGGUAACGGCUCACCAAGGCGAUGAUGGGUUGCCGGCCUGAGAGGGUGAUCGGCAACAAGGGAACUGAGACACGGCCCUUACUCCUACGGGAGGCAGCAGUGGGGAAUAUUGGACAAUGGACCGAGAGUCUGAUCCAGCAAUUCUGUGUGCACGAUGAAGUUUUUCGGAAUGUAAAGUGCUUUCAGUUGGGAAGAAACAAAUGACGGUACCAACAGAAGAAGUGACGGCUAAAUACGUG